ensembl:snoRNA
AGGAUCAAUGAUGAGCACUGGAGGUGUCUGUGUGUUGGACACUGACUACAGCUCUCAAGUCUGAGAUCCAC